rnacentral:rRNA from 1 species
AGAUUGAACGCUAGCGGGAUGCUUUACACAUGCAAGUCGAACGGCAGCGCGGACUUCGGUCUGGCGGCGAGUGGCGAACGGGUGAGUAGUAUAUCGGAACGUGCCCAGUAGCGGGGGAUAACUACGCGAAAGCGUGGCUAAUACCGCACACGCCCUACGGGGGAAAGGGGGGGAUCGCAAGACCUCUCACUAUUGGAGCGGCCGAUAUCAGAUUAGCUAGUGGUGAGGUAAAGGCUCACCAAGGCGACGAUCUGUAGCUGGUUUGAGAGGACGACCAGCCACACUGGGACUGAGACACGGCCCAGACUCCUACGGGAGCAGCAGUGGGAAUUUGGACAAUGGGGGAAACCCUGGAUCCAGCCAUCCCGCGUGUGCGAUGAAGGCCUUGGUUGUAAGCACUUUGGUCAGGAAGAAACGGCGUUGACGUAAUAUUCAGUCGUCACUGAACGGUACCUGGCCAGAAUAAGCACCGGCUAACUACGUGCCAGCAGCCG